rnacentral:rRNA from 1 species
CACGUAGGGGGCAAGCGUUGUCCGGAUUUAUUGGGCGUAAAGAGCUCGUAGGCGGCUUAGUAAGUCGGGUGUGGAACCUCCAGGCUCAACCUGGAGACGCCACCCGAUACUGCUGUGGCUAGAGUCCGGUAGGGGAGCGUGGAAUUCCUGGUGUAGCGGUGAAAUGCGCAGAUAUCAGGAGGAACACCAGCGGCGAAGGCGGCGCUCGUGGGCCGGUACUGACGCUGAGGAGCGAAAGCGUGGGGAGCAAACAGG